rnacentral:rRNA from 1 species
GCAUUAUACCGUGAAACUGCGAAUGGCUCAUUAAAUCAGUUAUCGUUUAUUUGAUAGUACCUUACUACUUGGAUAACCGUGGUAAUUCUAGAGCUAAUACAUGCUAAAAACCCCAACUUCGGGAGGGGUGUAUUUAUUAGAUAAAAAACCAAUGCCCUUCGGGGCUCCUUGGUGAUUCAUAAUAACUUAACGGAUCGCAUGGCCUUGAGCCGGCGACGGUUCAUUCAAAUUUCUGCCCUAUCAACUUUCGAUGGUAAGGUAUUGGCUUACCAUGGUUUCAACGGGUAACGGGGAAUUAGGGUUCGAUUCCGGAGAGGGAGCCUGAGAAACGGCUACCACAUCCAAGGAAGGCAGCAGGCGCGCAAAUUACCCAAUCCCGACACGGGGAGGUAGUGACAAUAAAUACUGAUACAGGGCUCUUUUGGGUCUUGUAAUCGGAAUGAGUACAAUUUAAACCCCUUAACGAGGAACAAUUGGAGGGCAAGUCUGGUGCCAGCAGCCGCGGUAAUUCCAGCUCCAAUAGCGUAUAUUAAAGUUGUUGCAGUUAAAAAGCUCGUAGUUGAACCUUGGGCCUGGCUGGCCGGUCCGCCUCACCGCGUGUACUGGUCCGGCCGGGCCUUUCCUUCUGGAGAUCCUCAUGCCCUUCACUGGGUGUGUUGGGGAACCAGGACUUUUACUGUGAACAAAUUAGAGUGUUCAAAGCAGGCCUUUGCUCGAAUACAUUAGCAUGGAAUAAUAGAAUAGGACGUGCGGUCCUAUUUUGUUGGUUUCUAGGACCGCCGUAAUGAUUAAUAGGGAUAGUCGGGGGCAUCAGUAUUCAAUUGUCAGAGGUGAAAUUCUUGGAUUUAUUGAAGACUAACUACUGCGAAAGCAUUUGCCAAGGAUGUUUUCAUUAAUCAGUGAACGAAAGUUAGGGGAUCGAAGACGAUCAGAUACCGUCGUAGUCUUAACCGUAAACUAUGCCGACUAGGGAUCGGGCGAUGUUUCUAUCUUGACUCGCUCGGCACCUUACGAGAAAUCAAAG